AUAUACACACACACACACACACACAAAAUGUGUCAAAUGUGUUUAAAAACUAAAAAAAAAAAGUAGACAGAAAAGACAGAAAUCUAAUGUUUAUCUGUCAAAAAAAGGUACUAUUUUAGCAUUAUACAAAGCAUUAUAUAAGCUGUCAUUCUAUCAAAUCUGUACACCUUCAUUUUCUUAACAGAUAGCCUUAGUGAUCAUGAAAAGACAGACGUGAUGCUCUGUGUGGUCAUAUCCACGAGCGCAUAAGUGGUGGAAUACCACUGUACCUGAAUUCAUUACAUAACAGUUCAUCCAGAAUUUUCGGGCCUCACAGGAGUCUUUUGAUUACAUCUGUUGUCGUCUCAGGCAUGUACUUCAAUGAAGGAACACCAAUUUCCGUUUGUGUGUACCUGUGAAUAAACGAUGUGCCAUUACCCAUUGGAAGUUUGCCACUGGCAGUUGAGUACAGAAGUGUCUGUCAGGUUUUCAGGGUUGGAGUGAGCACUGUAUUAAACUGUGUGCAGGACUUCUGCAGCACUGUAAUUAAUGUUCUUCUGCCUGUAUAAAGUUCCCAGAUCUAAGAAGUUAAAAGGAGAUGGCAGAUGUUUUUGAAAAUCAUUGGAACGUUCCACAAUGUGUUAGUGCCAUAGAUGGAAGCCACAUUCCAAUAAUAGCACCUGAAAAAUACUCUUGUGACUAUUUUAACAGGAAAGGGUGGCAUUUCAAUAGUACUGCAAGCAGUAGUGGAUGGCAAAGGGCUUUUCUGGGAUUUGUGUGCUGGCUAUCCUGGGAGUGUACAUGACGCAUGGGUCCUAAGACAGUCUUAUCUGUGGAACAUGUUGAAUGAUGGACAAUUGUUGAAUCAAAACAAAUUAUGCAUCUCUGGUUGUGAUGUUGGAUACUACCUGAUUAAAGAGACUCAGACUAUCCCUUACGAAACUGGUUGAUGAAGCCAUUUCCUGACACGGGCAAACUAACCCCACAACAGCAAAGGUUCAAUCUCAGGUUGAGUAGUGCAAGGUCAGUUGUGGACUUGUUUUGGAAGGCUCAAGGCACGAUGGAGGUGUCUCUUAAAAAGGAAUGACUGUAAACUGGAACUGAUCAAGAAGAUGGUUUUGGCCUGCUGUGUGCUGCACAAUAUUUGAGGAGGAACACAGAGACCACUUCAGUGAAGACCUUUCAGCCAUCCAUGUGAACAUGCAGCCUCUUGUUCAAUCAUUAACAGAGCAAGGACAACCAGAAGGGACGGAUAUACAAACAGCAUUAUUAGACUACUUUAACAGGCAGAACAGUUAAAUUAUUCAAGUAGCAGUGUCAUUUUAUUUCCUCCUCCUAUUGUUUUUCCUUAAUCCUUACUCCCUGUACUCCUUCCUAAGCUUUUUAAACUUGAUUAUGAUUUGGUCGGUCGAGCGACUGAAGCCACCGUUCAGCAUUUCUUGGCUUAUCUCAUCGUAAACUCUCUUCCUUCUUUUCGAGCUCUUCAGUUUCCCCUGGAUCUCUGUGGAAGACCAUAUCGCGAGCAGCACGCUGGUUUCCUCUGAAGACCACUGCUGUUUUACAAGAGGAGUACAGAAAUCAUCCAUACAUGGCAUGGAAGUUGAUGUCUUUUUACCACAAUUACCACAAACUACAACAAACUGAAAAUCAAAGGGGGAAAAAAUCAGCAUUCCUGGGAUCAUAGUGGAAACUUGAUGAAACUGACUAAACCAACUGUGAACCUGUCUGCUUUUCCCAUAUGCCACUCCAUCAAGCACACACACGCAAGCAAGCAGACAUAGUGACAGUCCUGUGGGCUGAGAAACCUCAUGCUGCGGAGGGUGUAAUUUACCAGAGUAAGAACAUACGGCAUGUUCACGCUGUGAGCCAUUAAAGAUUCAUGCCAGUCUGUGGUCUUCUAAGAAACACUUUAGGAGGCUUUAGCAGACAUCCUGGCCGGUUUAUCCACCAACAUUCACAACAUGAAAGGAGAUAAAGCACGGGAACAACUGGGAACGCAAACCAAAACUGAUGUCCUGGAGAGAGAUGCACUGUGCUUUGAUCAAACAGCAGAUCAUAAGAACGACAAAGAGGUUUAGGUCUCAGCUCCAUAAAUACACAGAGGAUGAUCAAGGAUAAGGAUCCAAUCGAUAUUUGGUGAAGAAACAAUUCAAAAGGAUUCCCAGUAUCACAAAAUCAAGAGAUUUCCCUCUACUGAAGCACAAUGUUCUCAAAUCAUGCUGGAUAACAUAAUCAGCAGGCUUUGCCAUCAUUAAUUUUGUCAUGAAAUAAAAAUGUAUUUAAAAUGUAUCUAUUUUCUAAAUGCAUGUUAGAGAACUUAUUGUAAUUAUGAAUCACCCAUGCAUAUGUUUUUAUUAUUUUUUGGCCUCAUAAUUAUUAAUCAAAAGGCCUUCUAGUGAAAAUAACAGACUUUUCGCAGACUUCUCCAAUCAUUUAGUACAUUUAUGUCACUAUUGCACAGUAUACAACAAAUCAUGAUCAAUGUUUAUUAAACAAUCUUACAACAGAUGGGAGAAAAUAUCUUAAAAAUAAGAUGAAAUUCUAAUAGCUUGUAAUGUAAACCAGUGUGAUUUUUUUUAUAUAUUAUAGCAGACUACUUAAAUAAAAUGCAUAUAAAUACUCUAUAUCUGGCAAUAAUGUCUUAGUAAGAUGAUAAUUAAAUGCUUAGUUUCAGGAUCUGUAGUUUUUAAUUGUGGAAGAAUAAACAUAUAAUGAAAUACAGUACGAUGAAGACAAAUGAACAGAUGAACAAAUAACUUUACUCAAAUGCCUGAUACUUAAUACUCUCAUUUUACCAUGAUUUUUCUAUAAAAAAUAAAAUAAAAUGAUAUUAUCAAAGUGUUCAAGCUGAAUAUUACCAACAAUGUAAAUGUUAUUCUUACUUUUACUUUAUA